rnacentral:rRNA from 1 species
UGGGGAAUUUUGGACAAUGGGCGAAAGCCUGAUCCAGCAAUGCCGCGUGUGUGAAGAAGGCCUUCGGGUUGUAAAGCACUUUUGUCCGGAAAGAAAUCCUUGGCUCUAAUACAGUCGGGGGAUGACGGUACCGGAAGAAUAAGCACCGGCUAACUACGUGCCAGCAGCCGCGGUAAUACGUAGGGUGCAAGCGUUAAUCGGAAUUACUGGGCGUAAAGCGUGCGCAGGCGGUUUGCUAAGACCGAUGUGAAAUCCCCGGGCUCAACCUGGGAACUGCAUUGGUGACUGGCAGGCUAGAGUAUGGCAGAGGGGGGUAGAAUUCCACGUGUAGCAGUGAAAUGCGUAGAGAUGUGGAGGAAUACCGAUGGCGAAGGCAGCCCCCUGGGCCAAUACUGACGCUCAUGCACGGAAGCGUGGGGAGCAAACAGGAUUAGAUACCCUGGUAGUCCACGCCCUAAACGAUGUCAACUAGUUGUUGGGGAUUCAUUUCCUUAGUAACGUAGCUAACGCGUGAAGUUGACCGCCUGGGGAGUACGGUCGCAAGAUUAAAA